rnacentral:rRNA from 1 species
UACGUAGGUGGCGAGCGUUGUCCGGAUUUACUGGGCGUAAAGGGCGUGCAGGCGGUUUGUUAAGUGCAGGGUGAAAGCUCCCGGCUCAACUGGGAGAGGUCCUUGCAUACUGGCGAACUCGAGGGAGGCAGAGGAAAGUGGAAUUCCCGGUGUAGUGGUGAAAUUCGUAGAUAUCGGGAGGAACACCGGUGGCGAAGGCGGCGAUCUGGGUAGAUACUGACGCUGAGGUGCGAAAGCGUGGGGAGCAAACAGG